AUGGCGGUUAUCCAGUGGUGGGUUUUUGAGGAGGUCCUGAUCCAGAUAUUGGAAGAAUUCGGCUGUCGUCGAAGCGGUUGGCAAAAAGGGUCCCCCGCACGAUUGAACUCUCUCUCUUAAUUUUUUCUUCUUGGACCUGAGAGAUCUGUAUAGCUCAGUGUGUUUUUGUGGCUGGAGCCGGUGAUCUCUAGCAUGUGGUGGCAAUGGUAUCACGACGUUUUUUGGGUUGCCUUGUCUACUUGCUGCAACCGACGGUUGGAGCUGUUGUUGGGGAUUUUUUGGCAUAGGCGUCCUUUGGUUGGUGUUGCCUCAGUGCUGCUGUAUUGCAGCAAUUUAUUUGCAUGCAAGGAGGUCACUGCAACUAGUCAGUGAAUUCAAGGGCACGAUGGGGCGAGGCAGCUGUCCACCGGAGCUGCUACAACUCAUUGUCUUCUCGCCUUCCCUUAAGUCAAAUCAAUUAAGCAGCUGCAGGGACUUGGCUUUAGCUACGCGAUUCUAACUAUGGAAUUUUGAGUGUGGAGAAUAGCAAUCCCGAAGAAGGUUGACUCAUUGUAUCGAGUUGAGCUUCCAUACCUUUAUUAUUUCCUUCUCUCGAGCAAAUUGGAAUUGAGUCGUGGUUGUCAUUCAAGUGAAACUGGAGCACGAAAGAUUAACAAAUUUGGUCUUAAGAACUGGUGGUGCGAAAACUAUUUCUUGGAGCUUCCGAUUGUGCUACUGGUUGGAACAAGGAACGGGGUGCAAGCCUUGGAUUUUCUUUCUUGGUGGUUCCUUGCGCCUCUAGUACUCAACUUCACGUGCAAUUUUGGAGUUGGGCGUUGCAUACAACAGCUCUUGAUCUAUGGCAUUGCUACUCUACUCCACUGAGAAUCACUCUUGAGUGGUGGUGCCAUAGGCGGUGACAUCUGCAUUAACAUUGAUCUUUCUUCAAGCUGGUUGUAAUCAUCAAGGGUGCGAAUUCUAUUCAGAAUUGGGUUGUUCUUCAGUUAGAAGUUUGUAGAUGGACUAAAAGUAGGUAGGCAGGUUCAUAUUCUAGUGUCCACCGAAUUAGGUAGAUAGGCUCAAUUCACAGAACCUAUGGAGUUUUGCAUCGUCCGCUCCUACAUCAUCACGACAGUCCACGGUGGACCUUCAUCGCGAGGGAUCAAUAGCAGGGGAACUCAACAUGAAGUUAUAAGAGAAGUUCAAAGUAUUACUCAGAAGUUGUACAUCACAGGUUGUGAGUUAUAAAUCUCGAUUGAAUCUUGCCUUUAGUCAAUUGUGAAAAGAA